GCGCGCGCGCUCUCGCCAGUCGGUGGUCGUCCCUCGCACGCGCGCACUCUCUCGACGGUCGUCCGCGGUGCGCCGCCUCUUCACCACGCCAAUCCCUUUGCCGCCGACUCGCGAGGCGAACAAUAUUAUUGUUGUCGCAGCCGCCACUGCUCCCCGUCGGUCGUCACGGCCAUUGUAUACACACAUUGCACAGACGACGGCCGCCGUUCCGCGUACGCACUACGCGAUUGCAAUUAUUUGCAGCACGGAACCAGGAACGCUCUCUCCCUCCCGACCGCCCACCCGUCCAGGACCGACCGACCGACAGCCAGCCAGCCAGCCACACGACCGUCCCCCGCACGACGCGUUUGUCCGUCGUGUCCUUAAUGAACGCAGUCACCACACACGGGCGUCAUAGAUGUUAAUUGUCCUGUUAAAACCGAUAGGGAUACUAUGUUCCUACAUAUUUAAAGCCAUGGGACAAAGCCUGGUCAUUGGUUCUGAGCGGUCCGCCAGACGGAAGAAACAAAAAACUGAUGGCAACCUACCCGUUGACACGCCGACCGUGUCACUCACGGCGGCUUCCAUGACAGACCUAGACAACAUUACUCAGCACCAGAUAGUGUACAAAAAAAUGGAACAACUGAUGGACCGUAUGCAGGAUGAGAACACCGGCAUUCCUGUGCGUACCGUCAACAAGUUCAGAGCUAAAGUGCCUUCCGUGUUUACUGGAACUGAUCUGAUAUUAUGGAUAAUGAAGAAUGUGGAUGUUGAUGAUCAAGUUGAAGCAUUAUACUUUGCAAAUCUAUUGUCCUCUCAUGGUUACUUGUUCCCAAUUGAUGAUCAUUUUUUGAAUGUGAAGAAUGAUGGAUCUUAUUAUCGUUUUCAAACUCCUUAUUAUUGGCCAUCAAAUAUAUUUGACCCUGAAAAUACCGACUAUGCUGUAUACCUUUGCAAAAGAACAAUGCAAAACAAAACACGUUUAGAAUUGGCUGAUUAUGAAGCUGAAAACUUAGCAAAACUCCAAAAAGUUUUAUCUCGAAAAUGGGAAUUUGUAUUCUUACAAGCAGAGGCUCAAAGUAAAGUAGACAAGAAACGAGACCGCAUGGAAAGAAAAAUAUUAGAUAGUCAAGAACGUGCAUUUUGGGACGUACAUAGACCAAUGCCUGGUACUAUUAUAACAACAGAAAUUGACUACAGGAAAUUAAAGAGGUAUAAAGAAUUAGCUACUCUAGCUAAUGGAGACAUUGCUAAUUUACUACUACCUAUUCAGCUCCCAAUAAAAACUAACAUUGGUAAACCUACUAUUGAAUCUAUAAAAAAAGAUAUAACUGCAAUGCGACUAAAGCUUGAUCGUCGUAAUAUAAAACUAUCAAAAAUUGCAGACACAUACAUUACUUAUUUUGAACAGUAUGCAGAAUAUGAUCCAUUUUUUACACCUCCAGAAUUUAGCAACCCUUGGUUAUUAGAUAAUGUUGAAGUAUGGGAUUGUGACAAACAUUCUUCUAUGUUUUCAUACAGGAAAGAAGUUACAGUGCGUCGAAUAAAACGAUGGGCAUUUAGUUUAAAGGAGCUUCUAGCUGAUCCCGCAGGAAAAGAACAUUUUACAAAAUUCCUGGAAAAAGAAUUUAGUUGUGAAAAUUUAAAAUUUUGGGAAGCAGUACAAAAUCUUAAGAAAUUGCCACAACGUGAAGUACCUGAAGCUGCCGAAGAAAUCUGGACAGAGUAUUUAAGUGGUGAUUCAUUAAACAUUGACUCUCAGUCGAGAGAAUUAAGCCGAAAGAACAUGUCCGCUCCUGAUAGAUGGGCAUUUGAUAUUGCUGCCGUAUGUAAUCGCACAUUUUCAUUAUGUUCAUGUUUACCAUUUAAUGAAGAGUGACAGCUACCAGAGGUAUAUAAGAUCAGAAAUGUAUAAAGAAUAUUUAAAUACUUCCAAGAAAAAGACUUCCAUGAAAGGCAUUAGGUCUAUAGUAUCAUUUUCUGGAAAAAGAGAUAUUUGCCCAUCGUGAUGGUAUGCAUACUUACAUUAUUCAAAGUACCUUUUCAAUACAGUUCAAAUAUUUGAAAUAUUAUUUACUUUUUUUAUACAUAAAUUAUAAGCAAUUCAUUUUAAUUUUUAUAAUUUAGACGGUUAAGUUAUUAUUUUUUAUAUAAUAUGUAUUAUUUCAUAUUUGUAGGCAUUUGCAACUUUUUGGUUCUAUAAUUACAAAUUAUUAUAAACAAUUAUUGUUGUGAAAUUGUUAACUAUUAAGUCAUUAUUGUAUGUUUGAGGCAAUUUAUGUUCCUAUAAAAUUGGUGACAUUUUUUAUACAUAUAUUUUUGUUGUACAACUGUUUCAAAUUUUAAUAAAUAUUAUAUAUUUAUUGUUUUUAAUUGUAUACAUGUUUGUUUAAAUUUUCUUUUACUAUGAAAUUUGUGUAGUUACUUAUGAUAUUGUUAUUGAUUAGUCAAAUUUAAAUUAUUAUUAAUGUGUUGAAUUGUAUAAAUUUUAGAUCUACUUAUACCUCGGUAAUUAAGCAGAAGUCCAUUAAACGUUAAACAUGUUAUUAUUAUGCAUUAUGUUAAAUUUGUUGAAAAUAACUAUGUUUACGUCAUUAUUUUUGACUGUAAUUAAUAAGUGUUUAUUAUAACCGCAGGAUCAAUAACAUAAAUAAUACCAAAUAACAGUUCAACAUUUUGAAAACUAUUAAGAUUAACACAAUAAAAUGGUCAUCUAUGUAGUAUAAUACAUAAUGAACAGUGCCGGACAAGCUGCCGGUGCAAACUGUGCAUUGUACUGGGGCCCCCAAAAUUAUGGAAAUCGAUACAUCAUAAUUCAUAAAUGGCAUGAACAUAAUAACAUAGUACCUUGUGGAGAUGACUUAAAUAUUGUUUUAGAAUUAUAAUAGUAUAAAGAAUUGUUUGGGCAACUAAAUGUUUAUUUUAAAUUGUAUACAUUGUAACUAAUAAUUAAUUUGUUUUUUAAUUAAAAUAAGUAAGUACCUUAA
rnacentral:misc_RNA from 1 species